rnacentral:rRNA from 1 species
GACGAACGCUGGCGGCGUGCCUAAUACAUGCAAGUCGAACGCAGUGGGGACGGGUGAGUAACACGUGGGUAACCUCCCAUCAGAGGGGAUAACACUUGGAAACAGGUGCUAAACCGAUACUGAUGGAUGGACCCGCGGUGCAUUAGCUAGUUGGUGAGGUAACGGCUCACCAAGGCCACGAUGCAUAGCGACCCGGGGAGGGUGAGCGGCAAAACGGGGACUGAGAAACGGACCAGACUCCGACGGGAGGAAGAAGUAGGGAAUCUUCGGAAAUGGAGGAAAGUCUGACCGAGCAACGCCGCGUGAGUGAAGAAGGUUUUCGGAUCGUAAAACUCUGUUGUUAGAGAAGCGGUAUCUAACCAGAAAGCCACGGCUAACUACGUGCCAGCAGCCGCGGUAAUAC